rnacentral:rRNA from 1 species
GAUGAACGCUGGCGGCGUGCCUAAUACAUGCAAGUCGAGCGAACAGACGAGGAGCUUGCUCCUCUGACGUUAGCGGCGGACGGGUGAGUAACACGUGGAUAACCUACCUAUAAGACUGGGAUAACUUCGGGAAACCGGCGCUAAUACCGGAUAAUAUAUUGAACCGCAUGGUUCAAUAGUGAAAGACGGUUUUGCUGUCACUUAUAGAUGGAUCCGCGCCGCAUUAGCUAGUUGGUAAGGUAACGGCUUACCAAGGCAACGAUGCGUAGCCGACCUAAGAGGGUGAUCGGCCACACUGGAACUGAGACACGGUCCAGACUCCUACGGGAGGCAGCAGUAGGGAAUCUUCCGCAAUGGGCGAAAGCCUGACGGAGCAACGCCGCGUGAGUGAUGAAGGUCUUCGGAUCGUAAAACUCUGUUAUUAGGGAAGAACAAAUGUGUAAGUAACUAUGCACGUCUUGACGGUACCUAAUCAGAAAGCCACGGCUAACUACGUG